rnacentral:rRNA from 1 species
AGCACCGGCUACUCCGUGCCAGCAGCCGCGGUAAUACGGAGGGUGCAAGCGUUAAUCGGAAUUACUGGGCGUAAAGCGCACGCAGGCGGUCUGUCAAGUCGGAUGUGAAAUCCCCGGGCUCAACCUGGGAACUGCAUUCGAAACUGGCAGGCUUGAGUCUUGUAGAGGGGGGUAGAAUUCCAGGUGUAGCGGUGAAAUGCGUAGAGAUCUGGAGGAAUACAGGUGGCGAAGGCGGCCCCCUGGACAAAGACUGACGCUCAGGUGCGAAAGCGUGGGGAGCAAACAGGAUUAGAUACACUGGUAGUCCACGCCGUAAACGAUGUCUACUUGGAGGUUGUGCCCUUGAGGCGUGGCUUCCGGAGCUAACGCGUUAAGUAGACAGCCUGGGGAGUACGGCCGCAAGGUUAAAACUCAAAUGAAUUGACAGGGGCCCGCACAAGCGGUGGAGCAUGUGGUUUAAUUCGAUGCAACGCGAAGAACCUUACCUGGUCUUGACAUCCACAGAACUUUCCAG